rnacentral:rRNA from 1 species
GACGAACGCUGGCGGCGUGCCUAAUACAUGCAAGUAGAACGCUGAAGGAGGAGCUUGCUUCUCUGGAUGAGUUGCGAACGGGUGAGUAACGCGUAGGUAACCUGCCUGGUAGCGGGGGAUAACUAUUGGAAACGAUAGCUAAUACCGCAUAACAGUAGAUAUCGCAUGAUAGCUGCUUGAAAGGUGCAAUUGCACCACUACCAGAUGGACCUGCGUUGUAUUAGCUAGUUGGUGGGGUAACGGCUCACCAAGGCAACGAUACAUAGCCGACCUGAGAGGGUGAUCGGCCACACUGGGACUGAGACACGGCCAGACUCCUACGGGAGGCAGCAGUAGGGAAUCUUCGGCAAUGGACGGAAGUCUGACCGAGCAACGCCGCGUGAGUGAAGAAGGUUUUCGGAUCGUAAAGCUCUGUUGUAAGAGAAGAACGAGUGUGAGAGUGGAAAGUUCACACUGUGACGUAUCUACCA